UAAAAGGUUUGAAAGAAAAGAAGGUGGCAAAGGUGUAGAGAACGUCAUCCUCUCUGGGUCUGCAGUGUGCUUCACUGCUUUGUCUAGUGGUGACCCAUGACUAAUUGGAAGAAUGAGAAGGUUGUUUCCUGGUCAAGCCUUGGUGGAAGGGGAAUGGAACAGAGGAACGUGGCGGAGAGCAAAUGAGAAGAAGGUUGGAGUCCAGCAGCUCAGUGCUCUGAUCAUGGGUUUGUAAGUCUCAUCCUCCUUUUGGCAAACACAUACUACGCACCUUAGUUCUGCUCCCCAUUAAAAGAAGUAAAUAAAAUGGUGAGAGAAUGGCAUUUUUAGUGAAAUGCAGAGUUUGCUUUCUGGCCAGCCCAGUGCUUUAGAAAAGGCUUGAAGUCAUACUUUUCAUGGUUGAAGGAUGUUUGCAACCUGGGAGCUAAAAUUGAGUAGCUGUUGAUUCCUGUGUUCAUGCCAAAAAUUAUACCUGUAGUGGUCAGCUACAGCGUCAUGGUUUGCCAUGGUAACAUAACACAAAACAUUCAUUCCCAUACAAAUUUUCAUCAGCAUUCUGUAUUUGUUGCCAUGUCUGACUAUUUCUUUCGAUAUACUAAUAAUUUUCUCCCAGAUGACACUGUAAAUAUGCCUGUUUGGUGAGGUGUUCUGUUUUUUUCCAUGCAUAUUUAUUAUAAAUUAAGUGCUAAAUUUCAUUGCAUUAGCUCAGAGAUGGAUUUAAAGAGCAGAAAAAUGCAAGUAAGCUUUUGUUUUAUGGACUACAGUUUUUAUAAUAUAUUUUCUUCAAGGAAGAAUGAACAUGCUUUCCUCAUUGACAUAACUCUUUGAAAGCUAAUAUUUUUACUAGUGCUCACAGAGUGCUGUAAAUUAAUUUUAAAUACCUUUUAAGGAUGUAAUAACACAAUGAAUAAGAGUAGAGAGGAAAAAGCGCUGUGAGAAAUUCAAAUGAAAAUAAUCAAAGCUGAUCAUGCCAUUGAGUUUUCGAACUUUAUAUAAUGAUGAACUUGAAGGAGGCAAAAAGAAUGAAUAAAACCCAACUCAUUUACU
ensembl:lncRNA